UACAUCUCGUGGUUCAACUGGUAC
rnacentral:siRNA from 1 species